rnacentral:tRNA from 1 species
GCCCAGGUGGUGGAAUUGGUAGACACGCAGGUCUCAGAAGCCUGUGCCGAAAGGUGUGCGGGUUCGAGUCCCGCCUUGGGCA